UACGGGAGGCAGCAGUGAGGAAUAUUGGUCAAUGGGCGAGAGCCUGAACCAGCCAAGUCGCGUGAAGGACGACGGUUCUAUGGAUUGUAAACUUCUUUUGUAGAGGAAUAACGGCAGCUACGUGUAGCUGAGAUGCAUGUACUCUACGAAUAAGUAUCGGCUAACUCCGUGCCAGCAGCCGCGGUAAU
rnacentral:rRNA from 1 species